rnacentral:rRNA from 1 species
UGGGGAAUUUUCCGCAAUGGGCGCAAGCCUGACGGAGCAAUACCGCGUGAGGGAGGAAGGCUUUUGGGUUGUAAACCUCUUUUGUUAAGGAAGAAGCAAGUGACGGUACUUAACGAAUCAGCAUCGGCUAACUCCGUGCCAGCAGCCGCGGUAAUACGGAGGAUGCAAGCGUUAUCCGGAAUUAUUGGGCGUAAAGAGCGUGUAGGCGGCUUGGUAAGUCUGUCGUGAAAUGCUGGGGCUCAACCCUGGACGUGCGAUGGAUACUGCUAGGCUAGAGGAUGGUAGAGGCGAGUGGAAUUCCCGGUGUAGCGGUGAAAUGCGCAGAUAUCGGGAGGAACACCAGUAGCGAAGGCGGCUCGCUGGGCCAUUCCUGACGCUGAGACGCGAAAGCGUGGGGAGCAAACAGGAUUAGAUACCCCUGUAGUCC